UGCAGUCGAACGAGAAGUUUCCUUCGGGAAACCAGUAAAGUGGCGCAAGGGUGAGUAACACGUGAAUAAUCUGCCUACGAAUUCGGGAUAACUCGACGAAAGUUGUGCUAAUACCGGAUAAGACCACACUUCUUAUGGAGCGUGGCCAAAGGAGUCUCAAACUCCGUUUGUAGAUGAGUUCGCGGACCAUUAGCUUGUUGGCGGGAUAACAGCCCACCAAGGCGACGAUGGUUAGCCGGCCUGAGAGGGUGAUCGGCCACACUGGAACUGAGACACGGUCCAGACUCCUACGGGAGGCAGCAGUGGGGAAUAUUGCGCAAUGGGCGAAAGCCUGACGCAGCAACGCCGUGUGAGGGAUGAAGGCUUUUGAGUCGUAAACCUCUGUCAGAUGGGAAGAAUAAUGACGGUACCAUCAGAGGAAGCCCCGGCUAACUCCGUGCCAGCAGCCGCGGUAAUACGGAGGGGGCAAGCGUUGUUCGGAAUUAUUGGGCGUAAAGAGUAUGUAGGCGGCUGGAUAAGUCAGGCGUGUAAGCCCACGGCUCAACCGUGGAAUUGCGUUUGAAACUAUUCGGCUUGAGUGCAGGAGAGGAAGGCGGAAUUCCCAGUGUAGCGGUGAAAUGCAUUGAUAUUGGGAAGAACACCGGUGGCGAAGGCGGCCUUCUGGUCUGUUACUGACGCUGAGAUACGAAAGCCAGGGGAGCAAAGGGGAUUA
rnacentral:rRNA from 1 species